rnacentral:lncRNA from 1 species
CUAAAAUGUUUCAGAUAUGAAUAUAAUGAUUUAAUAUAAUAUGCAGUUUCAUGUUGAUCACAUCCCUCGGUGUCACAGUAGGGGGCGGCAGUGCUUUCCGCUCGUCACUCGGAGCCGUAGAAGAGAAAACUCACGUGUUUCCGGUUCCACUCCGGUGCAUUCAUUUAUUAUUGUUUUGUUUUGGUCGACUUUUUGGGAAACUUCCUCCGUGUUUUCUUUACGAAUGGCCGCGGCGCUGAACCUCCUGGGCCUGAGGGCUCUGGUCCAGCAGCAUCUGACCGCGGCCCUGGACGAGCUCUUCGGGAACCUGCAGAAAACCUUCACGGAGUACGACCAGGAGAUCAGCCGCCAGCGCAGACUGCUGGACCUGCUGACCGAGAAAAGAGCCCCACACCAGGCAGAGAGGAGCGACUCCAGCCUGGACCCACCGACCGAGAAAAGAGCGCCAUACCAGGCAGAGAGCAGUGUACCGAGUCCCGCAGAGAGCGUCCACUCUUCCCGUUCAGACCCCAGGACCAGGACCCCAGGGACUGAAGGGUCAUCUCUCUGCACAGUCCCUGUGAAGACCGAGGAGCAAGUCCAAGGCCAGUCCCUGGUCCAGAAUCUACUCCAGAUCCGAGUCCACAGUCCAAUCCAGGACCAAGACCAACUCCUGAAUCCAGUUCUUCUGACCCCGGUGCACAGCCGAACCCCAGACCCACAGCAGGAUGGAUUUUCUAUCAAAGCGGAAGCAUCACAAGAGAACGAGAUGGAGUUGGACUCUGACCUGGUCCUGGAUUAUGACCCACUCAUGCUCUUGGUCCCCGACCCUGAAGACCCUGAAGACACUCGGAACCACGACCCCGCCGCUUUCACCAACCCCGGGAGUUUACAGUUGGAUGGUGCUGCCUUCAGGAACCACAAGGACGGCGGUUUCUCCUCACCGCAGAGUGGUACGGGAAAAGAUCCUUACCAGCACAGCUACAUGAGGCGUUUUUUUUCGAAA